CAGUAGUCACGUAGGUUUGAUCAUGGCUACAGAACGAACGCUGGCGGCAUGCCUAACACAUGCAAGUCGAACGAGACCUUCGGGUCUAGUGGCGCACGGGUGCGUAACGCGUGGGAAUCUGCCCUUGGGUUCGGAAUAACAGUUGGAAACGACUGCUAAUACCGGAUGAUGACGUAAGUCCAAAGAUUUAUCGCCCAAGGAUGAGCCCGCGUAGGAUUAGCUAGUUGGUGAGGUAAAGGCUCACCAAGGCGACGAUCCUUAGCUGGUCUGAGAGGAUGAUCAGCCACACUGGGACUGAGACACGGCCCAGACUCCUACGGGAGGCAGCAGUGGGGAAUAUUGGACAAUGGGCGAAAGCCUGAUCCAGCAAUGCCCGCGUGAGUGAUGAAGGCCUUAGGGUUGUAAAGCUCUUUUACCCGGGAUGAUAAUGACAGUACCGGGAGAAUAAGCUCCGGCUAACUCCGUG
rnacentral:rRNA from 1 species